GUCCCUGUAGCGCAAUGGAUUCCGCGUUGGAGUUCUAAUCCGACGGUCGUGAGUUCGAUUCCCACCUGGGAUG
rnacentral:tRNA from 1 species